rnacentral:rRNA from 1 species
GACAGAGGGUGCAAACGUUGUUCGGAAUUACUGGGCGUAAAGCGUGCGCAGGCGGUUUUGUAAGCCAGAUGUGAAAUCCCCGAGCUUAACUUGGGAAUUGCGAUGGAGACUGCAAGGCUGGAGUCUGGCAGAGGGGGGUAGAAUUCCACGUGUAGCAGUGAAAUGCGUAGAGAUGUGGAGGAACACCGAUGGCGAAGGCAGCCCCCUGGGUCAAGACUGACGCUCAUGCACGAAAGCGUGGGGAGCAAACAGG